GAUGAACGCUAGCGGCAGGCUUAAUACAUGCAAGUUGAGGGGCAGCAUGAUAUACGCGAGUAUAUUGAUGGCGACCGGCGGACGGGUGAGUAAUAGGUAGGAGACCUACCUCAUACAGGGGGAUAGCAUAGAGAAAUCUGUGGUAAUACCCCAUGAGGUUAUAUGAAUAGAGGCAUAUAAUCAAAGCAUAAGUGAUUAUGCGGUAUGAGAGGGGCCUACUGACCAUUAGCUAGUUGGUGAGGUAAGGGCUCACCAAGGCGAAGAUGGUUAGGGGUUUGAGAGAGAGACCCCCCACAUUGGAACUGAGAGACGGUCCAGACUCCUACGGGAGGCAGCAGUAGGGAAUAUUGGGCAAUGGGCGAAAGCCUGACCCAGCCAUGCCGCGUGAAGGAAGACGGCCUUAUGGGUUGUAAACUUCUUUACUACGCGAAUAGAGGUUAGUACGAGAUACUAAUAGGAAGGUAGUGUAGUAAAAAGCACCGGCUAACUCCGUG
rnacentral:rRNA from 1 species